rnacentral:misc_RNA from 1 species
GAUGAAGAACGCAGCGAAAUGCGAUACGUAAUGUGAAUUGCAGAAUUCAGUGAAUCAUCGAGUCUUUGAACGCACAUUGCGCCCCCUGGUAUUCCGGGGGGCAUGCCUGUCCGAGCGUCAUUGCUGCCCUCAAGCACGGCUUGUGUGUUGGGCCUCCGUCCUCCUCCCGGGGGACGGGCCCGAAAGGCAGCGGCGGCACCGCGUCCGGUCCUCGAGCGUAUUGGGCUUCGUCACCCGCUCUUGUAGGCCCGGCCGGCGCUUGCCGACACAUCAAUCUUUUUUCCAGGUUGACCUCGGAUCAGGUAGGGAUACCCGCUGAACUUAAGCAUAUCAAUAAGCGGAGGA